AGACAUCGGGAGCUGCUGGAAGGACCAUUGAGAAAAAAACAUCCACUGGAGGAUCCGCAUGUGAAAACGAGCUAAGGGGAGGAGUGUAAUGGUAGCCACCAUGAGUCCUAAUACCUUCAAGACUACCCUGGCUUUGAUCUUGUUGCAUUUAAGCAGGAGGUAAACGUGUUUGCGGAU